rnacentral:tRNA from 1 species
GACAGAUGGCCGAGUGGUCUAAGGCGCCAGACUCAAGCGAAAUCUUACCGCGAGGAAGCGGUCUGGGCGUUCUGGUACUCGUAAGGGUGCGUGGGUUCAAAUCCCACUCCGUGCA